CCCUACGGGGUGCAGCAGGUUGAGCAGCGGGUUGAAAAAACCGAGCAGAAAGUGGAAAAGGCAGAGAAGAUCGCUGUGCCUUCCGUUAUCAGCGACUUUAAGUUUAAGCCUUAUGGCUUUAUCAAGUUGGAUGCUGCUUAUGAUGACAGCAGAACGAAUUACGGUAAUUUCGCGAUAUACAUCCCCAGCGAGUCAAGCCAUAACAUCAACGAUAAUGAAUUUAAUAUGACCGCCCGGGAGACGCGGGUUGGCUUGAACAUAUUGGCCCCCGAAAACUGGUGUUGGACGGCAAAAGGAAAGAUUGAGUUCGACUUCUAUGGUGAUGGAACCGCGCAUGAAGACAAACCCGAGCCGUUGCUUCGCCACGCCUAUGUGGAAUUGGCGGGGGGGC
rnacentral:rRNA from 1 species